AUGCUUUGGCAGCACAUAUGCUAACAUUAGAAUGAUACAGAGAAGAUUAGCAUGACCCCUGUGCAAGAAUGAUAGAAAAAUCAUGUAGCAUUUCAUAUAUUU